CCUACGGGAGGCAGCAGUGAGGAAUAUUGGUCAAUGGACGAGAGUCUGAACCAGCCAAGUAGCGUGAAGGAUGACUGCCCUAUGUGUUGUAAACUUCUUUUAUAUGGGAAUAAAAUGUUCCACGUGUGGGAUUUUGUAUGUACCGUAUGAAUAAGGAUCGGCUAACUCCGUGCCAGCAGCCGCGGUAAUACGGAGGAUCCGAGCGUUAUCCGGAUUUAUUGGGUUUAAAGGGAGCGUAGGUGGAUUGUUAAGUCAGUUGUGAAAGUUUGCGGCUCAACCGUAAAAUUGCAGUUGAAACUGGCAGGCUUGAGUACAGUAGAGGUAGGCGGAAUUCGGGGUGUAGCGGUGAAAUGCUUAGAUAUCACGAAGAACUCCGAUUGCGAAGGCAGCUCACUGGACUGCAACUGACACUGAGGCUCGAAAGUGUGGGUAUCAAACAGGAUUAGAUACCCGAGUAGUC
rnacentral:rRNA from 1 species